rnacentral:rRNA from 1 species
ACACCAAUAUCGCCAGGGUACUACGAGCCUAGCUUAAAACCCAAAGGACUUGACGGUAUUCCACCCAACUAGAGGAGCUUGUCCUAUAAUCGAUAAUCCACGUUAUACCCAACCAUUUUUUGCUUUUUUUCAGCCUGUAUACCUCCNUCAUAAGCUUACCGCAUGAGCGUGUAAUAGUAGGCUUAAUGGUUUACAACCCCCACCACGCCAGGUCAAGGUGCAGCUAAUAAAAUGGAAGAGAUGAGCUACAAUUUCUACCCUAGAACAAACGAAACGCUGAAUGAAAUACAGCUAAAAGGUGGAUUUAGAAGUAAGUAGGGAAUAGAGAGCCCUACUAAAAUUGGCCCCGGAAUG